rnacentral:lncRNA from 1 species
UAUUGCUGCUGAACUCUACCACUACUUCUAUCUUUCUUCUUCUCCACUUCUUCAUCACCUUCAACUUCAACUUCAUCAUCACCAUUACCAUCACCAUCAACAUCAAAAUCUCCACUUACCUUAUCAACCUCACUCUCUUUCACAUUCUCAUUCCAGCCAUAACCCUCAUCAUCAUCCCAACCAUCAUUAUCAUCACUCCCUUGUGCUUCACCUGUUUUCGGGGCACAACCACCUUCACCACUCAAUUUCUCACCACCAUAUUCUCCACUACCAGCUACAAAGUCCGAAUCUUUCUUCUCAUUUUCAGCUACCCUUUCAUCCUCAUCCUUCAAAUCCAACUUCUUGUGAAAUUCUGCACCAAGUUCAUCACGAGUUUCAUCCUGCAACCCCAAAUUUUCACUGAGAUCUG